GGACACUUAGGUUGGUUUUCUAUUUUUUUAUGAUAAACACAGUUUAGAUGAUCUGCCUAGUAGUUUAAUCUUUGCACACAUGCUUAAUAACUUCCUAAAGAUAGAGUUAUAAAUUUGACAUUGGUCAGCGAACAAAAUGUGCACUUUUAAGGCUUUUGAAUAUACUGGACACUUCUGUUUCUUACAUUUUAGCUGUGCAGUCUCAAAUCUAACGAUGAAUGUAACUUCUUUUCUAGGGUGGGACGCUACUUCAGACUGCUUUCAUGUCAAGAUCUGCCUCAUCUUCCAAAGUGGGAGUUCCCAGCAUUAGGCUUGUGGGGGUGGAAGCUUAAUCCGCCUCCUUCCAAAAACUGAAAUCUGGCCAGACGCGGUGGCUCACACCUGUAAUCUCAGCACUUUGGGAGGCUAAGGCAAGUGGAGCACGAGGUCAGGAGAUCGAGACCAUCCUGGCCAACAUGGUGAAACCCCAUCUCUACUGAAAAUACAAAAAUUAGCCGGGCAUGGUGGCUUGUGCCUGUAAUCCCAGCUACUCGAGAGACUGAGGCGAGAGAAUUGCUUGAACCC
rnacentral:lncRNA from 10 species